rnacentral:tRNA from 1 species
GCCCGGGUGGCGGAAUGGUAUACGCGAGGGUCUUAAAAAUCCUCGGUCCUUCGGACCAUGUGGGUUCGAGUCCCACCCCGGGCA